rnacentral:rRNA from 1 species
CCUACGGGAGGCUGCAGUGGGGAAUAUUGGACAAUGGGGGGAACCCUGAUCCAGCCAUGCCGCGUGUGUGAAGAAGGCCCUCGGGUUGUAAAGCACUUUCAGUGAGGAAGAACGCCUGGUGGUUAAUACCCAUCAGGAAAGACAUCACUCACAGAAGAAGCACCGGCUAACUCCGUGCCAGCAGCCGCGGUAAUACGGAGGGUGCGAGCGUUAAUUGGAAUUACUGGGCGUAAAGCGCGCGUAGGUGGCUUGAUAAGCCGGUUGUGAAAGCCCCGGGCUCAACCUGGGAACGGCAUCCGGAACUGUCAAGCUAGAGUGCAGGAGAGGAAGGUAGAAUUCCCGGUGUAGCGGUGAAAUGCGUAGAGAUCGGGAGGAAUACCAGUGGCGAAGGCGGCCUUCUGGACUGACACUGACACUGAGGUGCGAAAGCGUGGGUAGCAAACAGGAUUAGAUACCCGUGUAGUC